GGUUAACGCUGGCGGCGUGCCUAACACAUGCAAGUCGAACGGUUCUAAGCGCGAGCUUAGGAUAGUGGCGAACGGGUGAGUAAAAGGUAGGAAUCCUACCCCUUGGACGGAGAUAGCUACUGGAAACGGUAGGUAAACUUCGAUAAGCCCGAGAGGGAAAGUGGUGAGACAGCCGAGGGAUGAGCCUACUCUCCAUCAGGUAGUUGGUGAGAAUAAAGCUUACCAAGCCGAUGACGGAUAACCGGUGUGAGAGCAUGAACGGUCACAAGGGCACUGAGAGACGGGCCCUACUCCUACGGGAGGCAGCAGGUGGGGAAUCUUGGACAAGUGGGACGAAAGCCUGAUCCAGCGACGCCGCGUGGAGGAAGAAGUCCGUUCGGGAUAGUAAACUUCUGAACUAGCCGAAAUAAAAGGCCUGUGGACACACAGGAGAAGAAAGUAGGCUAGGAAAAGUCCCCGGCUAACUACGUG
rnacentral:rRNA from 1 species